ensembl:snRNA U6 U6 spliceosomal RNA
GUGGGAUAUUGGACCAUUUAGCACAUAUACUAAAAUUGGAUCGAUACAGAGAAGAUUAGCAUGGCCCCUGCGAAAGGAUGACACGCAAAUCCGUGAAGCGCUCCAUAUUUGG